rnacentral:piRNA from 1 species
CUGGCAAAGGCUCUUCCAGAGCGUGUG